GAAAGAUGGUUUCGGCUAUCGCUUACAGAUGGGCCCGCGGUGCAUUAGCUAGUUGGUAGGGUAAUGGCCUACCAAGGCAACGAUGCAUAGCCGACCUGAGAGGGUGAUCGGCCACACUGGGACUGAGACACGGCCCAGACUCCUACGGGAGGCAGCAGUAGGGAAUCUUCCGCAAUGGACGAAAGUCUGACGGAGCAACGCCGCGUGUAUGAAGAAGGUUUUCGGAUCGUAAAGUACUGUUGUUAGAGAAGAACAAGGAUAAGAGUAACUGCUUGUCCCUUGACGGUAUCUAACCAGAAAGCCACGGCUAACUACGUGCCAGCAGCCGCGGUAAUACGUAGGUGGCAAGCGUUG
rnacentral:rRNA from 1 species